CAUAUUCUUAGACCAUUCAACA
rnacentral:siRNA from 1 species